AAAAACAACUUACUCUAUGUAUAGAGUAAAACUAUUUUUUACUCUAUUAUAGAAUAAAAAAUAGAGCACCAUUGGGACAUUUUUACUUCAAACUCUAUUUUAUAGUGGAAAAUAGACUACGGUUGGAGAUGCUAACCAUGAAAUGAAAGAGUAGCAUGGUACUGCCUUAACAAACCAGAUCAGCCUAUCACAUUCCACUCGAUCGAGGUUUCCUGCGUCUAAUUUGUUCCCAUGUUUUGAAGGCAGAGAAAGUAUUGCAAUAUUCGUUAACUGAGUGAUGCCACAAUACCUUAUCCCUACUCUCUGCAUCGCUUUGCUCCGUAAAUGCAAGAAUCUUCUCACGCAGUGCUGGAAAUUUCCUACUACGAGCACACUGUGUUCUCCACCGAUUAUUUCCCACAGCAUCGGCCACUGUCACUUUAUGCGGCAGUCCCAUGAGAGUAGUACCUGCCGGACCUUUAGUGUCUAUUAGAGAAUUCAUUUGUAACAAGUCAUUAUACCAGAAAUUUUGCUUUUACCAUCAUGAACCUCAAUACAUAAAAAAUUGUAAGCUUGGUCACGAAUCUUUAGAAGUUUCUCCAUACCCAAAAACCCUUGCCUCCAC
rnacentral:lncRNA from 1 species